AUUGAACGCUGGCGGCAGGCCUAACACAUGCAAGUCGAACGGUAACAGGAAACAGCUUGCUGUCUCGCUGACGAGUGGCGGACGGGUGAGUAAUGUCUGGGAAACUGCCUGAUGGAGGGGGAUAACUACUGGAAACGGUAGCUAAUACCGCAUAACGUCGCAAGACCAAAGAGGGGGACCUUCGGGCCUCUUGCCAUCGGAUGUGCCCAGAUGGGAUUAGCUAGUAGGUGGGGUAACGGCUCACCUAGGCGACGAUCCCUAGCUGGUCUGAGAGGAUGACCAGCCACACUGGAACUGAGACACGGUCCAGACUCCUACGGGAGGCAGCAGUGGGGAAUAUUGCACAAUGGGCGCAAGCCUGAUGCAGCCAUGCCGCGUGUAUGAAGAAGGCCUUCGGGUUGUAAAGUACUUUCAGCGGGGAUGAAGGGAGUAAAGUUAAUACCUUUGCUCAUUGACGUUACCCGCAGAAGAAGCACCGGCUAACUCCGUG
rnacentral:rRNA from 1 species